rnacentral:rRNA from 1 species
UACAGAGGUCCCAAGCGUUGUUCGGAUUCACUGGGCGUAAAGGGUGUGUAGGUGGCAAGGUAAGUUUGAUGUGAAAUCUUCGAGCUCAACUCGGAAACUGCAUUGAAUACUAUCUUGCUUGAGGAUUGGAGGGGAGGCUGGAAUUCUCGGUGUAGCAGUGAAAUGCGUAGAUAUCAGGAGGAAUACCGAUGGCGAAGGCAGGUCUCUGGGCUGACACUGACGCUCAUGCACGAAAGCGUGGGGAGCAAACAGG